AUAUCUCAACACCAGAUAGGUUUUACAACCUGUUCUGGUUGCUUGGAUAUUGAAGGCUUUGCUGGUUUUCUUUAUCAGCUCCUUUCAAAAUCAUUAGCAGAAAACAAUGCAACAAAUCUGGCUUCAGUCUGAUAAAGCACAUGUCUGUUUUUGCUGUUGCUAGUGAAAAGCUAUUGUUUCAGCUUCUAACUGUCCACCUUGAUGGACUGUCUCAUUAGAGGCAUAUUCAUUUCAC
rnacentral:misc_RNA from 1 species